AUCCCAUGAUGCUAACCCUAAUCUGAUAAGAAAAGUCUGUGUCCUUCUCUCUUCUGCGCGCGACGGCGAUGGUGACGCUCGAGUUUCUUCACCGUUACUGAAACGGAUUUCGUUAUGUUUUUUUUGGUGUUUAAUCCCAUUAAAUCUGACGUCCACUACGAGUUCUUCAAUGUGUGGUUUGCGUCGGGGCGAAGCUCUGUCAAUUUGGAGUAUGCUAAUUCACUGUUUAAGGGCUAACUCGAGGGUGUUUUUCUCCGAUUUGAAGUCCGGCAAGUGUUCAUCCGUUGUGGACAAGUCCCACAGAAUAGAAAGCAUAAACUCUACAAGAUCCAAACUGUGAAACGGUUGCACAACGAGUGGGUAGAGAAUGCAGAUUGAUGGGUUGCUGGAUUUCUGGAAAUAUUUGAAGAAGGUUUCAUAGGAAGGGGACUGCAAUCAGAGGGGGUAUCCAAGAGAGGUUAAUCAGAAAAUUCCCAGAAACAAACUGGAGAACGGUGAGGAUGAUGACACAGACGAUCAAUUCUAUGAAGAAUAUUUUGACCAUGACUUGGGCAGGGAUGAGGAUGAAGAUGAAUGACACUAUGCGAGGAUAAGGAAGAGAAAACUGUUAAGACGGAUGCAAAAGACAACAAGAUCAUUUUACUCAUGACAUGGUUACUAAAAUCUCUUAGUCUCUUACUCUA